UUACGGUCAAAUCACGCUGAAAACACCGGUUCUUCGUUUUAGAUCACCGAAGUUAAGCAUCGUAGAGCCAGGUCUCGUUCGUACUUAGAUGGGGGACCGCUUGGGGACCGCUU